GAUGAACGCUAGCGGCAGGCCUAAUACAUGCAAGUCGAACGGUGUCUUCGGACAUAGUGGCGCACGGGUGCGUAACACGUAUGCAACCUACCUUACAUUGGGGGAUAGCCUUUCGAAAGGGAGAUUAAUACCGCAUAAGACAGUAGCUGGGCAUCCAGCAGCUGUUAAAGAUUUAUCGAUGUAAGCUGGGCAUGCGUCCAAUUAGCUAGUUGGUGAGGUAACGGCUCACCAAGGCAAUGAUUGGUAGGGGAACUGAGAGGUCAAUCCCCCACACUGGCACUGAGAUACGGGCCAGACUCCUACGGGAGGCAGCAGUAGGGAAUAUUGGGCAAUGGACGCAAGUCUGACCCAGCCAUGCCGCGCGCAGGAUGAAGGCGUUAUGCGUUGUAAACUGCUUUUAUACAGGAAGAAACGACUCUUGCGAGAGGCAUUGACGGUACUGUAUGAAUAAGCACCAGCUAACUCCGUGCCAGCAGCCGCAGUAAGAC
rnacentral:rRNA from 1 species